CCCACAGCCCCUACUGCAUCAUUACCAGCCUGACCUGAGUCCCCUGCUACGACCCAUGCUGCUCCCAUUUCUUCUGCUCCCAUGUGAUGCUGGGCACAGGGAAACUUGGGGGACCCCACCAGGCGCUGAGGCUCUUCCUGGAGUCUGGGGAGAGGGAGAGGUGCCAUCUAGCAAAGGUCUGCAGCAACACCUGCAAACAUGCUGCUUCUGCCCUGCACUGCUCAAGAACAAACUCUGUUCUGCUGCAGCAUCCUGGUGGGCUCUCCACAGCCCCCAUCGAGAGUGUGGCUCCAUCUUCCCCGGCAAGAAGUGCAAGUCCCUUGAGGCCGGGAGCUGCACCCAGCUCACCUGUUUCCCGAACUGGGCCCAGCUGAGGGGCUCCAGUUCUCACCAUGACAACAAUCACGUCUAAGGCCCAGAGAGGGGAAGGGACUCAUCCAGAGCACGCAGCCUGGUGCCACAGCCCUUAGAUUGGAUCUGCAAGGAGCCAGGAGCCCCAGUGGCUCUGUUCUCAACUUCCAGACCAUUAUCUCAAGGUCCUUAUCAAGACCUCCCCACUCUGGGCAACCAGGAGCCAGGAUACAAAGUUUUAAGCUAGCCCCUCUCCAGCCGCAAACCCAGGUUGGUUUCUUGGGUUCUUCACCCUGCAACAAGUUGGGCCACCUGCUUUUUUGCAGCUAGACUGAAAGGCAAUUGAUAUGGUUUGUCUCCAGCCAAAUCUCAUCUGGAACUGUAAUCCCCAAGUGUGGAGGGAGGGACCUUGUGGGAGGUGAUUGGAUAAUGGGGACGGUUUCCCCCAUGCUGUUCUUGUGAUGGUGAGUGAGUGCUCAUGAGAUCCGAUGUUUUAAAAGUUUUUGGCGUUUCCCCUCACUGUUCUCUCUCCUGGGGCCAUGAGAAGACGUGCCUUGCUUCCCCUUUGCCUUCUGCCAUGAUUGCAAGUUUCCUGAGGCCUCCCCAG
rnacentral:lncRNA from 1 species